CUCUGAGCCCAGUUUUGUGUAAGGAUGUUCAAAACCAGCUCCUCAGUACAUCACAAGCUUAUCAGCCGGAGCAAGGCUGGAGUGCUCUGCUUUCAGACUGAUAAAUAUACUUAGUCCACUUAUUGUACCCAGAAUUAAUUAUUAACUUUUGCUUAAUAAGCAUCAAUAUUUUUCCUAUCAUGGUGCUGAAGGUCACAAUGGAAAAAGAAAGGAAAAAGCUCCUGUUCUCUGCUACAGGAGAACCAGAAGGGUUAUUGGAGUGUUUUCUCCACUACUAAACUGUCAUCUACAGAAAACCCCCAAAAGCAUGUUUAGGGUUUGGGCAGCAAAAGAGGAGGUUUCUGUGGAACCAAACUUUGGAUUUGCUAAGAUCAAAACACUUGAUAUAGGUAUACAAUCUUAACAACAGCUUUCCUUUGUCAUGCGACUACCUGCCACUAGAAUGAACCAAUGUGAUGCUUUCCAGUCCAUCAGAACUUCUCAGAUAUUUGUAUGGCUGUGACAUUUCCAGCUACACCUAUGCAGAUCAAAACUUACCUAUGGAUUUAUUUCUUAUGAACCAGAUUAUUGGGACACAAUCUAUCCAGAAAUAACCAGACAAUUGUCAGUCAGCUCAUGGGGUUGGCAAUAUAUAUCUGGAGAUUAAUUGCAUUAAUUUGAACCUCAUUAAGGAAUCCACAUCAAAGUCUGUGUUAAAGGCCCAAAGCAUUCUCUGAGGAAUCUUUUAUUUUCUUGCAAUUUCUUCUUUUGUGUUUUAUUCAGCAGGGGAAUUAGAAAUAAACAGGAAUGUGCAAUUUCUAAAAAACCAAAAGCAGUUGUGCACACAAACUCCCAGAGCACUGCAUUCCCAAAGAAGAGCCUACAGUGUUUUGCAAAUUUUCUAACAGCUGUUUGAAAUGAGGAAUAUGCAUAUUUAAACUCACCCCUGUGAAAUCAGCUCUCUUCUACUCUUGUGUGUGUGCCCUAAUACACAGAGUUUUCCCCUAUGUGUAAGAAACAGCAUGAUCCUAAAUUAAUAAACCAAUUUAUCUGAGGUGUUUGGAAGGAGGGAAAAGGAAGGUUAUCUUAAAAUAGCAAGAGGAAAAAAAAGAUGGCUUAAGUACAUCUCAAGUUUCAUUAUCUUUAAGAACUCUACAGCUUAAUAUGUAAAUGGAAGGAAACUGUAACAGGCUCUGUGAGAGGCUGUUUUACCUCUGUGGGUCGUGGGUGUCAGUGGUAUUGAUAUUGCAGUCUUUCUUUCACUGGAGUGUUUUUGAAAAUAGUUCUGACAAACCAAAUGAUGAGGCUGAUCCUGGCUCAGAGCAGGGAAGCAGAGCACUUGAUUUGCAGAAGCCUUGUUUUUCACUACAGUCUAUACCUGUCAACAGGGCAACAAGCGCUAUCCUACCUUUGCCUGUUUCUGCACAAAACCCCUAUGUGGGGAUGUUAAUGCUUUACUUUGGUAACUCUUAGGACUUUUUUUUUUUUGUUUGGCUUUUGCUCUGUUCAAAGUAUUCCUUCCAUACAAUCUUAAAACCAAUUAACCCUGACCCUAAAAUGCCAAGUGUAAACACCCCCAUACCCCGACUGAAUUCAGUGCUAACAUUUUGAAACAUGUUAAUGCUGAGACAUGCUGGCUAAAACCAAAAGCGUAACAAAACCCCAGUCAGUCGUUAGUGCUGAGUUAGGAAUGAGGAAUUAAGUACAGGAGAGAGGAAGCUGGGAAGUCAAGCUAAAAGAGAGGCAGCCUGUGGCUGAGGCAGCUGGGGAACAAUCUCAUCUGCCAGGAGAUGCUGACAAGCCAAAAGACCAUGCAGCCUUUAUCCACAUGAUACAGAUUUAAGGAGUGAAAUACACAAAGUACACAGAUGGGCAUUUGCAAUGUUAUGUUGAAAAUACUGC